CUUUAUAUUUUUUGUAUAUUUAAUUAUUAAUUAAAUGUUUAAGUAUAUUCAGUAUGUAUAAAUUUAAAUAUAAAUAUAUAAUAAUAUGUAUUAUAAAGCGGUAUUUGUGAUUGAUUGCUGAACAUAAAGCUCUGCAAUAAUUAUAUGACAAGUCAAUAGCUUUAGUUGAUUCAGAAUCACUGUCUGUCAAAUAUAAAGUCUUUUGAAGAAGAAAUUCUCUUGGCGACAUUGUCCAAAAUAGACUCCUGUUAACUUAAUAACAUACUCAGUGCACAAAUAUCUGAAAAUGUCAGAAGCUGCUGAUGAUCCGAUAAUUAAAAUUGAACCACAAGAAUAUCCAAUCGAAG